GAUGAAGAACGUAGCAAAAUGCGAUACUUGGUGUGAAUUGCAGAAUCCCGUGAACCAUCGAGUUUUUGAACGCAAGUUGCGCCCGAAGCCUUUUGGCCGAGGGCACGUCUGCCUGGGCGUCACGCAUCGCGUCGCCCCCCACAAUUCUCCGUAAAGGGAACGUAUGUUUUGGGGGCGGAUAUUGGUCUCCCGUGCUCAUGGCGUGGUUGGCCGAAAUAGGAGUCCUUUCGAUGGACGCACGAACUAGUGGUGGUCGUAAAAACCCUCGUCUUUUGUUUCGUGCUGUUGCUCGCAAGGUAAACUCUUUAAAAACCCCAAUGUGUCGUCUCUUGACGACGCUUCGACCGCGACCCCAGGUCAGGCGGGACUACCCGCUGAGUUUAAGCAUAUCAAUAGCGGAGGA
rnacentral:misc_RNA from 1 species